rnacentral:rRNA from 1 species
GAUGAACGCUGGCGGCGUGCCUAAUACAUGCAAGUCGAGCGAAUGGAUUAAGAGCUUGCUCUUAUGAAGUUAGCGGCGGACGGGUGAGUAACACGUGGGUAACCUGCCCAUAAGACUGGGAUAACUCCGGGAAACCGGGGCUAAUACCGGAUAACAUUUUGAACCGCAUGGUUCGAAAUUGAAAGGCGGCUUCGGCUGUCACUUAUGGAUGGACACGCGUCGCAUUAGCUAGUUGGUGAGGUAACGGCUAACCAAGGCAACGAUGCGUAGCCGACCUGAGAGGGUGAUCGGCCACACGGGGACUGAGACACGGCCCAGACUCCUACUGGAGGCAGCAGUAGGGAAUCUUCCGCAAUGGGCGAAAGUCUGACGGAGCGACGCCGCGUGAGUGAUGAAGGCUUUCGGGUCGUAAAACUCUGUUGUUAGGGAAGAACAAGUGCUAGUUGAAUAAGCUGGCACCUUGACGGUACCUAACCAGAAAGCCACGGCUAACUACGUGCCAGCCGCCGCAGUAA